rnacentral:lncRNA from 11 species
GGCCCCUGAGCGGUUGCCAUGGAGACCACAAUCACCGGCCAGGGGUGAUGGACAGGAAGCCCUGCUUUGGACUUCAGUUUGGUGAAGGAAACCAAAGGCCAAGCCUUGUGUUUGGCAUCGAAAGCCAUUGCAAAAUGUGGAAGGAAAGAAGGAGGAAAAAGGAAGGAAGGAAGGAAGGAAGGAAAGGAGAAGGAAAGAAAGAGGAGAAAGAGAAAGCCAAGGAGGGAAAUGGAGCAAGACAAGCAUUGGGAGGUGACAACGAGAUUGUGAAUAACAUGUACGAAACUGAGGUGGACCUCCUAGCCGGCGAGAGCGCAGAAGAGGAGACCGAGGACAGCAUCAUGUCCCCCAUCCCCGUCGGUCCGCCCUCGCCGUUCCCCACGGGCGAGGACUUCGACCCCAAGGAAGGCUCGCCCUACGAAGCCCCCGUCUACAUCCCCGACGACAUUCCGAUCCCAACAGACUUUGAACUGAGGGAGUCCUCCAUUCCAGGGGCCGGGCUGGGCAUUUGGACCAAAAAGAAGAUCGACGCCGGGGAGAGACUGGGGCCUUGCGUGGCUUUCCCUGGAACGACGCUGAAGGACACCAACUUCGGGUGGGAGCAAAUGCUGACGGAUCCCGAGAGCAGUUUGCAAGAUGGCUGCAUCAAAAAGGUAGGACAAAGGUUGAAUCUCGUUCAGGUUGUAUAACUUUGGCGUUUGGCGAAGCUGGAACUGUUUGCCUUGUCUGUCACUCUCUUGCAAGAGAAAAGGAAUCUCUCUCCAGAACCGUCACUUCGGGUUCUUGACCUUGCUGACUGGGCGUUUCUGGUUUGUGUGCUCAGUCUUUUGGUUUUGUGUUGUAAGUCGGUCUCAAUUCGCUCUGGUCUAAGAAUACAUUUGAACCCAUUCCUGAGGUCAUUUGGGGGUAUUGAUUCUAAAUAUUGCAAUGGAUAGACUGCAUCAGCUCUA